GGUGUGAUAGAGAUCACUGAUGAAUAAGAAUAGUACAAAAAAUAACCAAUACUUACUGAGGGCUCACUUUGUGCCAGUGCCUACCCUUGAUGACCUUGUGAAAUUCACAACAGCUCUACAAGGGAGGUGUCAUUUUGAGAAGGAAACCUAGGCUCAGAGAGGCUGAGUCACUUGCCCAAGGUUGUGCGGCUCUUCAGAGCCGGAGCCAGGAGUCAAAUGCGAGAGGCUAAACCUUAGGGCCCAAGUUCUUGAGGCAGACAGGGGCCCAGUACAUGAUUAUUCCCAUAAGACCCCAUCAGCCUUGGUCAGUGACAAGCAUCAGGGGACAGCCUCCUGCCCAGAUUUUGGACAGCCCCAACGCCAUGAGCCUGGGCAGCAGUGCCCGGCUGCCACCAAGUGAGCCCGGGUUGUCACACCUUGCUUGGGGGUGCCACCCAAGCCCACUGUUGUCCAAAUAGCGCUGGUCGGGAAAAGGUCACCCUGUCACCUCCUACCCCCUACAUCUUAGGGAGAGGUGGGAACAGCACGGGCAGCAGGGGUCCCACAGGGUUCCAGGCAUAGGCUUUCCUGCUUCAGGCUGGCCCUGGCCGGUGGCCUGGUUUUGGGCUUUUCUGUGCUCUGAGCACAUCUAAACAUUUGGAGAAAAACAAGAAAGCGAACAAUAGACGCUUGUGGGUUAGAGGAAUGGGCCCACUUCCCCCUGGGAGUCAGCACUGUUCAUAAGCCGCCCCAGCUGCACUCUCACGGUGGGGAUGUCACUGGAGGCUCGUUGAAUCACAGCCUUGUCCUCCUUGGGGGCCGGCUACUGGCUCCUUUUAUGUAUCGUCGGGGAUGCAAAUGCUGGUGGGGCGGACGGGUGUGCAGGGGGAAGGCAUGUUUUGCUGCCUGAAUUUUGGGAAGUCACACAGCAAAGAUGCAUCCGAGCCUGGCAUUGUCGCUCUGCCAAGGCACCCCUUGACGGACGUGUUCCGAUCAGAGCUGUCUGCCCCACGGGAAAAGAAUCAGCUUUCUAUCAAGUGGACUCUGGGCAUCGCCCCAGAGAGCUGCAGCUCCAAAGGACCCGGAGAGACCCCCAGACGACCGAGAGGGGCUGACGUGGAGUGUCCCCCGCCUGGAUGGCAUCCCUGGAAAAGGCUGGAGUGUUUCUACAGAGGCUGUUCAGACAUCACAUCACAGUCCCAGACGGCUGAGAGGUUCUUGCACUCACUUGGCUGCCCUCCCUGGGAAAUGCUUUGGAUCAGACAGCACUUCUGGGUUGUUUUUGCCUGAGGAAAGUGGCUCACAGCAUCACCCUCACCCUUGCUCUGAGAAACCAUCAUGAAAUCAAUGCAGCUUUGGAAAGGAAGGAACGUGGCAAAUCCCUAAUCACACCUCACCUUUAAAUACGGUCUUUGACCAUAUUAGGACCAGAAUUUCAUAUAUGCUCCCUAAUUUAUUCUUUUCCUUCACAACUGAACACACAGGCGACUGGCUUGAAUCCAGGGCGCGUUUGAUUGAGGCUACAUAUUCCCCCACUUUCGGCACGCCUAAUGAUUUCCAUCUUUGUCUCAAUUGUGUUUACGAGACCUGCCCUUAUCACCGGCAUCGGCGCUUCAUUUUUCCAUUUUCCACUCAUUCUUAUAAAACAACAAGGUCAAAAUGCAAUACAAUAUUCAAAUACUUGUGCAAACACUGCUGAACAGCUAAAAGGGGACGCUGCUGAGACCAAACUCUGGGCCACCAGGCAGCAUUUCCAUGCGAUGGCUUCAAAUGUCAGCUCACCUGCCAACCUGGGAGAGCUCAAAACCCGCGGGUGGAGCCAGGGGUCGGGGUGGUGGUGGUGGCGUAGACCAACGUAGAGCGUACAAAAAAGCGUGCGCCAAAGUGAAAGGUACAAGGUGAAGGUCCCCCUCUGAAGCUCAGCGGAGUAUAAAUCCUGCCACCUCCAGCCAAGAGGCCCAGGCGCUACCAUGCAAAGGGGCUGUUGGUGACGGCUUUUCUCCAGGCGGGUUGUGUUGUCUCACAGACCUGCGCCAGUACACCUUCCAACGUCUCUGAGUCUGCAGGUGUGUGCGUGAAGGGAAGGGGGUUUAGGGACCACCAUCCUGUUUUCCUAAUCUGCACACUCAUCACAGAGGGAAGUCAAUCCCGGGUAACACUUUCCCAAACAACUCGGCUGCAGGCCGAUCUGCAGGCAGGGGGCCUGGGGGCUGUUAUCAUCUCCAGAGAUAGGGGGCUUACCGGCCGACGGAGUGGUGAAAGGACACUUAGUGUUGCUUGAAGACAUUCCUAAGAAGACAGAGGAGCGCCUGGAAACAGACACCCAGGAUUUCGCUGCCGCUUAGCAACCCUGGCAGCCGGACGUGACUCGUGUCUCUAAGCUUGCGGCUCGCGUAGCCCCAGCACACUCAGCAGUUCUGAGGGAUAUACUGAGAAGAGAUUCAUCGUCUCUCCUCAGCUGUGGAAAUACCAAGAACCUUUCCUCAAAGUUUCUCGCUCUUGGAUCAGAAUCCUUUAUGUGGGAAGGAUUUGUGAGGAAGCGGUAGGUGAAAACUUCGUCUUUAUUUCAUGCCCAACGAGCUCUGUUAGAAGGGAAAGACUCCAGUCGUGGGCACAGGAGACCUGGCCUCCAGGCCCACCUCAGCCCUGCCUUCCUGAGUGGUUCUGGACAGGUUCCUUCACCUGCAAAACAAGAAGAUGGGGUCUAUAUGAGCUCUCAGCUGGAAUACUCACAGUAUUGGUGAAUUGAGACAACAUGUGAAAUGUGAAUCAAAGCAGGAGUUAAAAAAAAUACACCUCAGGAAAUAUUUAUGGUCUUCACAGCUAGAAACGUGACCAAAGCAAUGUAAGUCAACCCUGAGAUUUAUAACAAACCAUGAGGUCAGAUCUGGGGGCUCCCAGUCAGGCCUAGAACAACCACAACAAGACUGCAAAAUCCUUUGCUUCUGAAUCAAAUCCUCCCAAGCCAUUUCCUCCUCUUUCAAGUGCCCUGGAUGGAAGGGUCGCUCACCACCUCCCUUCAAGAUUCUGAGGGGGAUGGGGGCUUUGGUCACAAGUUCAAAUAAGAAAACCUCCUUUUGAUUAAGCUGAAGUCCAAGCACACUUUCCAGAGUGGCUAAGGCCCAUGUUCUGUGUUUUGCUUGAAGUUUCCAAGCCCUCGUCUGAAAGGCGGUGUCCCUUUACCCUUAAAGAAGAAAAU